rnacentral:rRNA from 1 species
GAUGAACGCUGGCGGCGUGCCUAACACAUGCAAGUCGAACGGAAGGGCCCUGCUUUUGUGGGGUGCUCGAGUGCGGAACGGGUGCGUGACACGUGUGUAACCUGCCCUUGUCUUUGGGGUAACUUCAGGAAACUGGGGCUAAUAUAGGAUAGGAUAUCCUGCUGCGUGGUGGGGGUUGGAAAGUUUCGGCGGUUGGGGAUGGACUGGCGGCUUAUCAGCUUGUUGGUGGGGUAGUUGCUUACCAAGGCUUUGAGGGGUAGCCGGCCUGAGAGGGUGACCGGCGACCUUGGUACUGAGGGAAGGCCCAGACGGGUACGGGAGGCAGCAGGGGGGAAUAUUGCACAAUGGGCGCAAGCCUGAUGCAGCAGCGCUGCGUGCGGGAAGACGGCUUUCGGGGGAUAAACCGCUUUCGCCUUAAACGAAGCGUGAUUGACGGUAACGGAUAAAAAAGCACCGGCUAACUACGUG